CAGGAUGAACGCUGGCGGCGUGCUUAACACAUGCAAGUCGAACGAUGAAGCCCAGCUUGCUGGGUGGAUUAGUGGCGAACGGGUGAGUAACACGUGAGUAACCUGCCCUUAACUUUGGGAUAAGCCUGGGAAACUAGGUCUAAUACCGGAUAGGAGCGCCUACCGCAUGGUGGGUGUUGGAAAGAUUUAUCGGUUUUGGAUGGACUCGCGGCCUAUCAGCUUGUUGGUGAGGUAAUGGCUCACCAAGGCGACGACGGGUAGCCGGCG
rnacentral:rRNA from 1 species